ensembl:lncRNA novel transcript
UGCGUGGUAUUGCAAAAUAAAUUUAUUUGAAGAUAAACUGUCUUAUAAAAGGUCAGAGGCAAUUUGAGAUCCCAGAUUCAGCUUGUCUCAUAAAAAGAUUCAACUUCAAGUAGCACAAUUUCUUGUCUGCUUUUAAUCCUGAACAUUCUUGAAGCAUGAAACAGCCAACUGUUUACACAACACAUCUGUGACAUCUGACUCUGGCACCAGUGGCGCCGCAGCUUUCAGCUCUGAGGCCCCACGGGCUGCAGCCCUCAGCUUUGGGAGGGCCCAGAUCAGGCCUUACCUGGCUGCCUGGCAGCCCGGAGAGGAAGGAGGAAGGACGCUCACGGUGCGACAGCUCUGGCCACGCUGGCGGGAGCUACGUGAUGAUCCUGGCGAUGGCUUGCAGGGAGGGGAAGUCGUCGUCCCGGGCAGCAUGCAGCGCCUGGUGGCUGCUGGCAUCGCCAUGCGCGAGCACCUGCUGGCAGGUGGGGCACACACGGCAGUCCAGGCCCGCCUGCU